CCUACGGGAGGCUGCAGUGAGGAAUAUUGGUCAAUGGGCGGGAGCCUGAACCAGCCAAGCCGCGUGAAGGAAGAAGGCGCCAGGCGUCGUAAACUUCUUUUGUCGGGGAACAAAGGGCGCCACGCGUGGCGUUGUGAGUGUACCCGAAGAAAAAGCAUCGGCUAACUCCGUGCCAGCAGCCGCGGUAAUACGGAGGAUGCGAGCGUUAUCCGGAUUUAUUGGGUUUAAAGGGUGCGUAGGCGGUCCGGAAAGUCAGCGGUAAAAGCCCGGGGCUCAACCCCGGCGAGCCGUUGAAACUGUCGGACUAGAGACGGCGAGAAGUACGCGGAAUGCGCGGUGUAGCGGUGAAAUGCAUAGAUAUCGCGCAGAACUCCGAUUGCGAAGGCGGGUUCCUGGACAUUAACUGACGCUGAGGCACGAAGGCCAGGGGAGCGAAAGGGAUUAGAUACCCUGGUAGUC
rnacentral:rRNA from 1 species